AUUGAACGCUGGCGGCAGGCCUAACACAUGCCAGUCGAGCGGAUGAAGGGAGCUUGCUCCUGGAUUCAGCGGCGGACGGGUGAGUAAUGCCUAGGAAUCUGCCUGGUAGUGGGGGAUAACGUCCGGAAACGGGCGCUAAUACCGCAUACGUCCUGAGGGAGAAAGUGGGGGAUCUUCGGACCUCACGCUAUCAGAUGAGCCUAGGUCGGAUUAGCUAGUUGGUGGGGUAAAGGCCUACCAAGGCGACGAUCCGUAACUGGUCUGAGAGGAUGAUCAGUCACACUGGAACUGAGACACGGUCCAGACUCCUACGGGAGGCAGCAGUGGGGAAUAUUGGACAAUGGGCGAAAGCCUGAUCCAGCCAUGCCGCGUGUGUGAAGAAGGUCUUCGGAUUGUAAAGCACUUUAAGUUGGGAGGAAGGGCAGUAAGUUAAUACCUUGCUGUUUUGACGUUACCAACAGAAUAAGCACCUGCUAACUUCGUG
rnacentral:rRNA from 1 species